rnacentral:lncRNA from 1 species
CAGAUCCGCCUUACUCUGGUCUACUCUUUCUAUUGAGGCAGAUUGCCUCUUCCCCAACACUUCCCAGUUGUCCUUGACCUCUCUCAUGUCACCCCACCCAUCCCACCCUACCUCAGAGACACUGAGCUGACGUCACUCACCCUGUAAUGCCUCUCAUACUGCAGCUCUCAAAAGGUCAUAGGGGCAACUUCCAGUCCCAGACAAGGGCAAUAAAGAUGUUAGGAGGACACUUCCCACCUUUCCCAUCCUGAGCAAUGUUCAUAGGCAGAGGCAGGAACAGUCCUUUGGCUCUGUGAAAGUACGUAUGUGUAUAAGUUUGUGAGUGAAUGACAUGUGUGCUCAUGUAGUUGUAUGAUUGUGUCUGACUGGGUACGUGGUUGUGCAGCCUGUGUGAUUGUGCCUGGGACUUGGUCUCGGUGUUCAGAAGCUGCAGACAGGAGACAGCUCCUCACUUAAAUUUGGUGGCUUGUUAGCCUCUUCCUCCUCUUCCAAGGUCCCAUAUCUGGGGAGAUCUUGCCUGGGAUCAACCUGGCUUCUCAGAUGCUGGCAGAGUGAGGUAAUGUGUGUUGAUAGUCUUUCUGUUCUCAUCACAUUUCUAUCUUGUCCCUGUCACUACUCCUCCUACCUACAUGCCUUUGAGCUGGGUCCUCUGGCAGCCCCUACUUUGCCCAUCCCUGGUUUCCUUGACGACCAGAAGCUGGUCAGACGUGUUACUCAGCAUCUGGGCCAGCUAGUUCCCUGCAGGUCCUAAGGCAGUGGGGGAAAAAUGUGAACUUUGAAGUCAGAAGGACCUAGAAUUCUAUGUGGGCAAAACACUGCCCGCCCGCCCUCAUUCAGACAGUGGGUGCCAUACCUCAAGGUGUCAUGGAGAAGGCAAGUGGAGAGCAGCCUGCCAGGUGCAGGCAUGCAGGAGGUCCCAAGGAACUGUCUUCUCUUUAUCUGCUGCCAUGUUGCAAGACCAGCUGAUACUCCUGCCCCGGCAGCCUUCCACCUACCCCUUCCC